CAGUCGCCGCGGUAAUACGUAGGUGGCAAGCGUUGUCCGGAAUUAUUGGGCGUAAAGGGCUCGCAGGCGGUUUCUUAAGUCUGAUGUGAAAGCCCCCGGCUCAACCGGGGAGGGUCAUUGGAAACUGGGAAACUUGAGUGCAGAAGAGGAGGGUGGAAUUCCACGUGUAGCGGUGAAAUGCGUAGAGAUGUGGAGGAACACCAGUGGCGAAGGCGACUCUCUGGUCUGUAACUGACGCUGAGGAGCGAAAGCGUGGGGAGCGAACAGGAUUAGAUACCCGGGUAGUCCCUGUCUCUUAUAC
rnacentral:rRNA from 1 species